rnacentral:lncRNA from 1 species
GCUGGUAGUCUGCGCCUGUAAUCCUAGCUACUGGGGAGGCUGAGGAGAGAGGAUCGCUUGAGCCCAGGAGUUCUGGGCUGUAGUGCACUGUGUCACUAGAUAGAGUGUCUGCACUUAAGUUCAGGAGGGAGGGACCACCCAGGUUGCCUAAGGAGGGAUGAACCGGCCCAGGUCGGAGAUGGAGCAGGUCAAAACUCCCGUGCUGAUCAGUAAUGGGAUCAUACCUGUGAACAGCCACUGCACUCCAGCCUGGGCAACAUGGGGAGACCCUGUCUC